rnacentral:rRNA from 1 species
UACGUAGGGUGCAAGCGUUAAUCGGAAUUACUGGGCGUAAAGCGUGCGCAGGCGGUUUUGUAAGUCAGAUGUGAAAUCCCCGGGCUUAACCUGGGAACUGCGUUUGAAACUACAAGGCCAGAGUGUGGCAGAGGGGGGUGGAAUUCCACGUGUAGCAGUGAAAUGCGUAGAGAUGUGGAGGAACACCGAUGGCGAAGGCAGCCCCCUGGGUUAACACUGACGCUCAGGCACGAAAGCGUGGGGAGCAAACAGG